UAUUUAUUGAUUACAUAAUUGUUCUCAUUGUAUACUAAUCAGAAAUUUUUUAUGAGAUUAAGAGAUAAAAGCUCAAAUUCUACGUAUAUCAGAAUAAUAUUAUAUCAACAGAUACAAUGUACAAUGGUACAAAACUUCAGUAAAAAUCCAAAAAUGUCUACUAUUUAUAAUGCAAAAUACUACGAUCCCAUAUGUUAUAAAUAUUGGCAACUUAGUUUGGGCUUCUGUAGAAGGUUUUGCUAAGGUAGAAAGAGAAUUGACACAUGAUACAUGUGAAACAAUCAUAAAGUCUUCCUAACAAAAUAUAUUUAACAAAUUUGUUUUACAGCUUGUAAGCACGUCAAUGUCUUAUUUCACGAUCAUUUAUACUCUACUAUAAUAACAAAAUAGACAACACAAUGAAUUUGCUGAUUAUAAAUAACAUGUGCUGAUAAAAGACAUUACGCAAAGUAAACCAUCCGCUCGUGGUACAUCUGUAUACGUUAGCAUAUAUUGUGAGGAAAAAAUGUCACUAAUACAAAUAUUCAGAUAAAAUUUCUUAUUUUGAUUAUAAUCGGUAAUAAUAAAUAGAAUUGAAUACAUUAACAACAUGAUAAUUGUCUUCUUUUAUCCUGCGUUAAAAGAAUUCUCUCCUACUUACAUAAAAUAAAUUCAGAAAA
rnacentral:lncRNA from 13 species